rnacentral:rRNA from 1 species
GUAAUACCGAAGCCCCAAGUGUCGUCGUUCUUAUUGGCCUAAACGUCCGUAGCCGGUUUGUACAUUCGUGGGUAAAUCAGACAGCUUAACUGUCUGAAUUCUGCGAGCACGGCCAAACUUGAGACCGGGAGAGGUGUAGGGUACCUGCGGGGUAGGGGUAAAAUCCUGUCAUCCCGUAGGGACCACCAGUUGCGAAGGCUCUACACUAGAACGGAUCUGACGGUCAGGGACGAAGCCUAGGGGCACGAACCGGAUUAGAUACCCGGGUAGUCCUAGGUGUAAACGCUGUGGACUUUGUGUCGGGAAUUCUUCGAGGAUUCUCGGUGCCGGAGUGAAGAUGUUAAGUCCACUGCCUGGGGAGUACGGUCGCAAGGCUGAAACUUAAAGGAAUUGGCGGGGGAGCACUGCAACGAGAGGAGCGUGCGGUUUAAUUGGAUUCAACGCCGGAAAACUCACCAAAGCCGACUGUUAUAUGAAGACCAGCGUAACGAGCUUGUCGGAUUUUCAGAGAGGUAGUGCAUGGCCGUCGUCAGUUCGUACCGUAAGGCGUUCUGUUAAGUCAGAUAACGAACGAGACCCCCAUCGUCAUUUGCUAACCCUUUCUCCGGAAAGGGCGCACUAUGGCGAGACCGCUGGCGUGAAGUCAGAGGAAGGCGGGGGCAACGGUAGGUCAGUAUGCUCCGAAUGCUUUGGGCUACACGCGCGCUACAAAGGACGGGACAAUGGGCAGCUACUCCGAGAGGAGAUGCUAUCCCGAAACCCGUUCGUAGUUCGGAUCGUGGGCUGUAACUCGCCCUCGUGAAGCUGGAUUUCGUAGUAAUCGCGUCUCAAAAUGGCGCGGUGAAUAUGCCCCUGCUCCUUGCACACACCGCCCGUCAAACCAUCUUAGUUUGGGGUGGGUGAGGCUACCUUUUAUUGGGUAUUCGAGCCUGCCUAGACA